UAGGGCAGGGCUGUGUCCUGCCCUGGACUCACAGUUGCCUGUUUUACUCUGUGAGGCUGAAUAAGAAGGACAGAAAUAGAAGAGUACACAGACACUCCCAAAUAAACUGUGUUGUGUGAUCUAUCUUCCAGAAACAAAUGCAGGAACAAUUGUUACUAGUAACGUGGUUUAUGCCAUACCACUGCGGCUUGGGAAGUAGAUCCUUUAGGUAAAGAAACAUCCUUUACAAAACAUUUGUGGAAUGUAUUUAUCUAAAAAUACAAGGGCUUAUGUAGAGAACAAUGUUAGUCUGCUGAUUUAUAGUUAACUGUCAAUGGCAACACAGGACUAAAACCUUUUAACCAGUCACACUGUAGUAAUGUCUUAACUUUAUCCCUUCUGUACAAUAUCUGUUCCAAGGCUGAUUUCCUUGGCCUCUGCUGCUGCUUUUGGAAGAGUCCCACUCGCUUGGCUCUCCCAUUGUGGGAGGACCAGAAAAGGAGGAUGGAUGAGGAGCAGGAUGACCCUACUCACAGAGGUUUCCCCUCAUCGUGUCGCGGUAGCCAUGUUUCAAGAGGUCGGGAAAUAGACUGCCAACAGGAAAACAAGGAAACGAAGAAACAGGAAAAACCUAUGGAAGGAGAAAUGUCUGCACCUCCUCCCUCCCCUGCAGGGCACUGUUCUUCGUUUCGUUUUCUUUCUAAGCCGUAAAAGCGAAUACAAAAAUUAGGAAGGAGGUAGCCCGCGCCCCCUGCGGAAGGCGCGGCACAGGGGACAGGACAAGGUGACACGACGGGUGCCACGUCAGCUCCUGCCGGUGCCUGCCAACAAAGGUGGCCAUUGAGAGCCACCGUGUGCGAGCGCUGGCGACUGCCGGGGCUCCGACACCGUCUCGGCGCAGGCAGCUGAUGAGCCACGUGAGCGUCUCCUCUUUCGCCUUCUCCUCCUCUCGUCUUCCUCCUCUUCCUCCUCUCCCGCACAAGCUUUCUGUCUGUUUGAGGAGCUGCGGACUCCGGCGUCUUGUCGAAAAUAGGCUCCCCCAGAUGAAUGAGCAGCACUCACCCAAGAACCUACAAAGCAAACAAAAACGUGCUUUCCCCUACCUCAUUGACUGGGGGGUUUUGUCAGCAGCAGGAUAAGGGAAAGCAGCUUUUUAUUUCUGACUCUGGCCAUCCCCCAUGUGCAGCUCCAGCAGGGAUGGAUGUUUUAAGGCACUUCUACUCUAGAAUAUAAAGUUACUCAGCAUUUACAGGUCUAAGUCUUUAGAGAUAUUUUUAUUCUGUGCCUCUUUUGCUGUGCCUGAGAGAGACAUGUUGUGGAUGCUUCCAACUAACAGUGCCUGAAUGUAAAUAAUGCUUUACUCUUAUUUACAAAUCAAGAGGGUUUUUUUCUUAGUUAUGUUUACAAAAAUGUAUUCAUGUUCUGAUUUUCUUUAUGCAGAAAUGAAAGUACCUGAAUUCCAAGGCAGAGAGGGUUUGGUGAGCAGAAGAGGUAGGAGCCUGGUUGCACUGUGUGUUAUAUAAACAAUGUGCUGGUUUUGAAAGCAGACCUAGAGGCAUUUGAAAUGCAUUUAUUUAGGCCAGGAAUUAAUCUGGGCCUACCAGUAAUGGAUUCACAGAGCAAUUGUGUGCUUGCUCAGCUCAUAGGCUGGCAGGUUUUACAUAUGUUACAUGAUUUGUACCAAUCAAUACAGAACGUGGACAUAUGUGCUCACAUCCGGAACAUAUGAGCCACGAGGGCAGGGAUUGAGUAGUGAUCUUGAUAGCACCUGGCACUGUCUGGAUUUCAGGAUAAAAAUACAUAUUUUAAUCUGUUUAUUUUUGAUGAGCUGUUGGAUUUCUGAGGCACAGAGUGGCAGCAGCCAUUUCAUUGCAUGACUCCUGCAGGAUGCAGCUCUACCACAGAGCAAAGCUGGGAGCUGCCUCCAUCACCUGGCUGGCCAAGAAGGAAAACUCCAAAUUCCAUGUGAAUGUAGCACAGGACAAGGAUCACAACACUGGAUCAAGGAUCUGCCCCCACUCACAGCACUGCCAAGGACAUGGCAAUGCAUUUUAAUUCUGGCUAUGAAAGUAGGGAAAAAAAAGUUCUAUCCACCAAGAAAAAGCUGGUUCUUUAUAUGGGAAAUAUGAAAUGGAAGCAAACCCCAAGGCUGUACGUAGAAACACCUUUCUGAGCCCUUCAGGGUGCCCAUAGCCCUUGUUUCUGGUUACCUGUCCAUCUCUCACAGCUUCUGGAGGCUCCAGAAACCCUCCAUAUUUCCAGACACAGUUCUGGAAGCAGCACUUUUUCCAUGGUGCUGGAGAACUUGCAGAACUCCAUCACUGAGGGCUGGGCCAGAGCAUUUGCCCAAGAGUUGGAUUUAAAGCCCUGUGUUCACCCAGCAAAAUCCAGGGCCUGAGUUGGCAAUACUCUCCCUUGAGCAGACUGGUGAGAACAAUGGAGGCCAGGAACUUGUAAUGGCCAGAGACCUUGUAACGGCUAGAGACUCAAGCCUGUGACAAAAAUCUUGCUGGUCAAGGCAAUUGCUAAAAAAAGGGGGAAAGGAGAAAAAAACCCCAACCAACCAAACCUGUCGUCUGUCCAGAUUGCUAACUAAAUAACCUGUAAGCUGCAAUAAUUCUGCAAAAGAUUCUUUCAGGAGUGCAUUUUAUUGUGAAAGUGGUUAUAAAUAAUAAUAAAGAAAUGCAUCGGUGUGUAGUCCACAAAGCAAGUAAAAACUUUCUUCCUCUU